UUUUAUAACAUAUUAGCCAUGUAAAUGGCACUGGCUGGUGAUUAUUUAAUCACCGGCCU
rfam:Psychromonas sp. PRT-SC03 contig_6623, whole genome shotgun sequence.